rnacentral:rRNA from 1 species
UACAGAGGUCUCAAGCGUUGUUCGGAUUCAUUGGGCGUAAAGGGUGCGUAGGCGGCGCGGUAAGUCGGGUGUGAAAUCUCGGGGCUUAACUCCGAAACUGCAUUCGAUACUGCCGUGCUUGAGGACUGGAGAGGAGACUGGAAUUUACGGUGUAGCGGUGAAAUGCGUUGAUAUCGAUAGGAACUCCGGUGGCGAAGGCGGCACACUGGACCACCACUGACGCUGAUGCGCGAAAGCCAGGGGAGCAAACGGG